rnacentral:misc_RNA from 1 species
GGUGAGUUUUCAGGCAGUUGCUUCCCAGGUAGCUCCUCCUUCACCAACAUUUAAUCUUGUUAAACCAAUGGCUCAGCAGAGUGGUUUUCAGGAUGGAGUUGACGGGCAUGAAAGAUUAGGGUGGGGGGCCACAGCGGAGAGGGGGAGAGGGCUAGACUUUGAAUUUGAGAAUGGCAGGGUGAAGCCNNNNNNNNNNNNNUGAGAUAGGGGUGGACUACCUUGAGCUCACACUUGGGUGUGCAAAUUAAAGGCCCAUUAAGCUAAUAUAUAAUUAGUCUUGGGAACCUAAGAACAUGGAAAAUAAUUGGAGUUUAUUGUGCAUUCUCAAUGGUAUAAUUGGUGUGCUUUCUCAACCGUAUAAUUGGACUAUCUUAGCUAAUGGAAUGCCAUUGCUAGGGGCUUACCUGUGACUUCUGUGAUAGCGUGGAAACCUUGAAUUCGCAUUCGAACAUGAAUUCCGUGCAUCCAAUCUUUCCUUUUAGAUGUAUAGUUCCUUUUUCUUGAAUCCUUUGCAGGAAUCUGAAUUUAUCUGAUUCAGUCGCUUUUGAGCAAAAUUUCUUGCAGGCUUUCAUGGAAGGGCAAAGCUAAAGAUCCCAAAUUUUCUUGUACAGGGAAAAGAUUGGUGCUAGUGGAUUUGGAAGAUUGUAUUCUUCCUUCAUAUGUUCAUAUUUUUUCUUCCAUUUUUCGUUGAUUAUAGUGCCCUAUUCACAUGUUAAUAGGAUGGCCUUUGCAAGCUUCAAAUAUUUAGCAUAUAGAUUGUGUAUCUCGUUGGGGAUUAUUGAGCUGUUUCUCAUGCUCUGUAGACUUUGAAGAAACACAAUCUAAAUGCUAAAAUUGAAGCAAAAUCUUAAUGUUUGACUAAACAGAAGAACGUAGUGAUCG